GAUGAACGCUGACAGAAUGCUUAACACAUGCAAGUCAACUUGAAUUUGGGUUUUUAACUUAGGUUUGGGUGGCGGACGGGUGAGUAACGCGUAAAGAACUUGCCUCACAGCUAGGGACAACAUUUGGAAACGAAUGCUAAUACCUAAUAUUAUGAUAAUAGGGCAUCCUAUAAUUAUGAAAGCUAUAAGCGCUGUGAGAGGGCUUUGCGUCCCAUUAGCUAGUUGGAGAGGUAACGGCUCACCAAGGCGAUGAUGGGUAGCCGGCCUGAGAGGGUGAUCGGCCACAAGGGGACUGAGACACGGCCCUUACUCCUACGGGAGGCAGCAGUGGGGAAUAUUGGACAAUGGACCGAGAGUCUGAUCCAGCAAUUCUGUGUGCACGAUGAAGUUUUUCGGAAUGUAAAGUGCUUUCAGUUGGGAAGAAACAAAUGACGGUACCAACAGAAGAAGUGACGGCUAAAUACGUG
rnacentral:rRNA from 1 species